rnacentral:lncRNA from 1 species
GGACACACUCUAAUAUUCUUAUUUCCUUCUGCAACUGUGGCACCCAAACCUGCACCCAGUGCUUGGGGUGAGGCCUCACAGAGCAGAGCAGAGCGGGACAAGCCCUCCCCUCACCUGGCUUGCAGUGUGAAUGAGAACAAGAUAUUGAAUGGUCUUUACAGUGCCAAGGCAAGCAGAGCCACACACUGCAGGCAAGAGAUCCUCCAGUACAUUAGAAGAGGAAUUCCAUGCUAAACACCUUCUCAGAGGCUUGAGGAAGAUUAGAAGCCCUUAA